ACAUGUCGAAGUCGUCAUCUACCUGCAACAGAAAUAGGAAGGAAAGAGUUCGUACAGUUUUUGAUAGACUUAGGAUGUGACGUUAAACGAAAUGAUAUACACGGUUGGACAGCUGUUUUGUAUGCAGAAGAAAAUGGACACGAAUCUAUUGUCGAAAUGCUCGAAACCUGUGAAAUUAAGAAGAAAAAAAUAACAAGAGAUCAGUUUCCACAUGAAUUAGAAACUAUUUUUGAGGAAGAGUAAGAGUUUGCAGAAGGCAUCACCAUGAACAAGAUACCAGAUAAACUACUUCUACGAAACCUACUAUAACAUGACCAAGAUAAACUACUACUACGAAACCUGCUGAUCACACAAAACCUGAUAGAGUAAUACAAAUGAAUAAUAUCACAGUUUACCAAAUUGGGCAUACACUUUCAUUGAAAUGCUUAAAUUCAUAGCCAUGAAUAGUAGUCAAGUAUUUCCGCGAUACGCAUAAGGUGAAGAUACUGCAGAUAUUUUUACGGAAUGGAACUUAUUAGUGCGGACUUCAA